rnacentral:rRNA from 1 species
UACGUAGGGGGCAAGCGUUGUCCGGAUUUAUUGGGCGUAAAGAGCGUGUAGGCGGCCAGGUAGGUCUGCUGUGAAAACUCGAGGCUCAACCUCGAGACGUCGGCGGAAACCAUCUGGCUAGAGUCCGGAAGAGGAGAGUGGAAUUCCUGGUGUAGCGGUGAAAUGCGCAGAUAUCAGGAAGAACACCCGUGGCGAAGGCGGCUCUCUGGGACGGAACUGACGCUAAGGCGCGAAAGCCAGGGGAGCGAACGGG